rnacentral:rRNA from 1 species
UGCGUAGGGUGCAGGCGUUAAUCGGAAUUACUGGGCGUAAAGCGUGCGCAGGCGGUCUCCUAAGUCAGAUGUGAAAUCCCCGGGCUUAACCUGGGAACUGCGUUUGAAACUGGGAGGCUAGAGUGCGGCAGAGGGGGGUGGAAUUCCACGUGUAGCAGUGAAAUGCGUAGAUAUGUGGAGGAACACCGAUGGCGAAGGCAGCCCCCUGGGCCUGCACUGACGCUCAUGCACGAAAGCGUGGGGAGCAAACAGG